rnacentral:rRNA from 1 species
CGUAGGGACCGAGCGUUGUCCGGAUUCAUUGGGCGUAAGGAGCUCGUAGGCGGCUGUUCAAGUCGAACGUGAAAACUCGGGGCUCAACUCCGAGCCUGCGUUCGAUACUGGAUGGCUAGAGUCUGGUAGGGGGAUCUGGAAUUCCUGGUGUAGCGGUGGAAUGCGCAGAUAUCAGGAGGAACACCGGUGGCGAAGGCGGGAUCCUGGGCCAGUACUGACGCUGAGGAGCGAAAGCGUGGGGAGCAAACAGGAUUAGAUACCCUGGUAGUCCACGCCGUAAACGAUGGGCGCUAGGUGUGGGAGGUCAUCGACUCCUUCCGUGCCGCAGCUAACGCAUUAAGCGCCCCGCCUGGGGAGUACGGCCGCAAGGCUA